rnacentral:lncRNA from 1 species
AUGCACCGUUGUGGGUCCCAGACAACACCACCACAACAACAACAACAACAACAUGUAGAGCAGAUCUUUCCCAGAAGCCCCUCUCUCUCUCUCUCUCUCUCUCUCAGGUCCUCACUGUUAUUCACCCUCGAACGCUGCCUGCUUAUCUUUCUUUUUCCUUUCUUUGCCUCGCUGUUGCGACAGUCUCCAGGGGUGUCCAUGCGCACUUCCUCCCCGUCUUUGCCUCCCCCCCUACACUUCCUCACUCCUCUCUCCCCACCGCCCCCUCUCCAUGCAGUGUGGUAUCGUCCGACGACCGAGGAGGGGGAGAGAGAGGCCGAGCGCGCAGUUGUCGGCUGCAGGUCGUUCGGAGCGGGACGCGCGCAGCGGCUGAGGACGCGGCACCACGGACCCCACAGUCUCUCGCUUAUUCUGGCUGAUUCUCUCCUCAUUCUCUGCACCUGGCUUUGGCACCAACUUGGGGAAUACAAAACAUCUUUCGAAGAAUCAGUUUGUAAAGGACAGGCGGCCCCCUCAGCCCCGGCCCCGCGCCCCAGUGAUGCUAAGCUGCUGUAUCCCGGAGGCCCACCUUGGCAGUUAGAGGAGAGGUCAUCACCAUGACGGCGUCCUCGCAGGACUCCACGCCCUCGUCCGUGGCCCGCCUCGUCCUGCCCCUGCUCCUCCUCCUCCUCCUCCUCCUCCUCCCGGCUGUAUUCGCGCAGAACUCCGUCCCGACGAGUCCGACCCCGCCGCCGUUUGACCCGCUGACCCGGCCGGAGUGCACAAAGAAGGAACAUCCGAAGGUCUCCAUCCAAGGUCAGACCUCCUUUGGAACCGCUCGUUCCCACAUCUGAUAACGCGACACACAACGUUUACAGGGACACAAGGAAACUGGGAGAAAAGCAGGUUACGUACACAGAAGCCGGAUAGUAAUCAGAUACUAGGGCUGCAGCUAACGGUCAUUGUCAUAAUCGAAAAAUCUGUCCAUUAUUUUCCGGAAUAAUCGAUUAGUUCUUUGGUCCAUAAUAUGUCAUAAAAUUGUGAAAAAUGACCAUCCUUUUCCCCCCAAACACAAGAUGAUGUUUUGUUUUGUCCACACACCAAAGAUAUUCGGUUCACUGUCA